rnacentral:snRNA from 1 species
UUUUAGACUUUGUCUCUUUUCUCU